rnacentral:rRNA from 1 species
AAGAGUUUGAUCCUGGCUCAGGAUGAACGCUAGCGGGAGGCUUAACACAUGCAAGUCGAGGGGCAGCACGGGGAGCAAUACCUGGUGGCGACCGGCGCACGGGUGCGUAACGCGUAUGUAAUCUACCAUUAACCGGGGAAUAGCCCAGAGAAAUCCGGACUAAUAUCGGCCCCAUAUCAUUAUCGAAAGGCAUCUUUUGAUAAUUAAAGCUCAGGCGGUUUUUGAUGAACAUGCGUGUCAUUAGUUUGUUGGUGAGGUAACGGCUCACCAAGACUACGAUGACUAGGGGGUCUGAGAGGAUGAUCCCCCACACUGGUACUGAGACACGGACCAGACUCCUACGGGAGGCAGCAGUAAGGAAUAUUGGGCAAUGGCCGGAAGGCUGAUCCAGCCAUGCCGCGUGCAGGAAGACGGCCCUAUGGGUUGUAAACUGCUUUUAUACGGGAAUAACCCUCCGAACGUGUUCGGAUCUGAAGGUACCGUAAGAAUAAGGAUCGGCUAACUCCGUGCCAGCAGCCGCGGUAAUACGGAGGAUCCAAGCGUUAUCCGGAUUUACUGGGUUUAAAGGGUGCGUAGGCGGCUUUUUAAGUCAGUGGUGAAAGUGCGGGGCUCAACCCUAGAAUCGCCAUUGAUACUGAGGAGCUUGAGUACAGUUGAGGUAAGCGGAAUGUGUAGUGUAGCGGUGAAAUGCUUAGAUAUUACACAGAACACCGAUUGCGAAGGCAGCUUACUAAACUGUUACUGACGCUGAGGCACGAAAGCGUGGGGAUCAAACAGGAUUAGAUACCCUGGUAGUCCACGCUGUAAACGAUGCGCGCUCGGUGUCGGCGAUACACAGCAAGGUGACUAAGCGAACGCGUUAAGUGUCCCACCUGGGGAGUACGAUCGCAAGAUUGAAACUCAAAGGAAUUGACGGGGGCCCGCACAAGCGGUGGAGCAUGUGGUUUAAUUCGACGCAACGCGAAGAACCUUACCAGGUCUUGACAUGCCACGAACUUCAUAGAAACUUGGGAGUCCCGUUCGGCUGAAGGAAUCACAGGUGGUGCAUGGUUGUCGUCAGCUCGUGCCGUGAGGUGUCGGGUUAAGUCCCAUAACGAGCGCAACCCUUAUCUUUAGUUGCCAGCAUUCAGUUGGGCACUCUAAGGAGACUGCCGGUGACAAACCGGAGGAAGGUGGGGAUGACGUCAAGUCCUCAUGGCCCUUAUGUCCAGGGCUACACACGUGCUACAAUGGCCGGUACAAAGGGUUGCGAUGCCGCGAGGUGGAGCCAAUCUCAAAAAGCCGGUCUCAGUUCGGAUUGGAGGCUGCAACUCGCCUCCAUGAAGUCGGAAUCGCUAGUAAUCGCAGAUCAGAACGCUGCGGUGAAUACGUUCCCGGGCCUUGUACACACCGCCCGUCACACCACGGGAGUUGAUUGUACCAGAAGCAGUUGAGCCAACCGUUUACGGGGGCAGGCUGCCAAGGUAUGGCGAGUAACUGGGGUGAAGUCGUAACAAGGUAACCA